rnacentral:rRNA from 1 species
GACGAACGCUAGCGACAGGCUUAACACAUGCAAGUCGAGGGGCAGCGAGGGCGUAGCAAUACGCCUGUCGGCGACCGGCGCACUGGUGAGUAACACGUAUGCGACCUGCCCCCUACAGGGGGUAUAACCCCGUAGAAAUGCGGACUAAUCCCCCAUAGUCCUGGAGGCUGCAUGGCAUUCAGGGGAAAGGCCAGCCGGUAGGGGAUGGGCAUGCGGCGCAUUAGCUAGUUGGCGGGGGCAAACGGGCCCACCAAGGCGACGAUGCGUAGGGGUUCUGAGAGGAAGGUCCCCCCANACUGGUACUGAGACACGGACCCAGGACUCCUACGGGA